rnacentral:rRNA from 11 species
UUCUAUAUAAAUACCCGCAAGGCACCAGCUCCAGUCUGAUCUUGGAAAAGAGAAGAAUGGUCAGCACUUGUUAGUACUUGGAUGGGAGACCACCUAGGAAUACUGGGUGUUGCAGACU